UACGUAGGGGGCAAGCGUUAUCCGGAAUUAUUGGGCGUAAAGAGCUCGUAGGCGGUUUGUCGCGUCUGCCCGUGAAAGUCCGGGGCUCGAACUCCAGGAGUACUGCGGUGGGUACGGGCAGACUAGAGUGAUGUAGGGGAGACUGGAAUUCCUGGUGUAGCGGUGAAAUGCGCAGAUAUCAGGAGGAACACCGGUGGCGAAGGCGGUUCUCUGGGCAUUACCUGACGCUGAGGAGCGAAAGUGUGGGGAGCGAACAGG
rnacentral:rRNA from 1 species